rnacentral:lncRNA from 1 species
AAUCUAUCAUCUCUCUAUCUAGGAAUUAAAUUAAUUUAUAAAUAAAGGAUGGAGUUGUUCCCAGCUCAGCCGGAUUUGUCUCUUCAAAUCAGCCUCCCCAACACCAAACCCGCCUCCUCCACGUGGCGGCGGACCCCCGCAGAAAACGCCGAUGAUAGUCCUUUGACCACCGAUGAAGACGCCGAUGAUAGUCCUUUGGGUGGUUUCUGGAAAAGAGCCCUCGACUCCCGCAGCAGCAACACCGCCAUACCCACAACCACCACCACCAACACCGCCGGAAGCUCCUCUUUUGACC